rnacentral:rRNA from 1 species
GAUGAACGCUGGCGGCGUGCCUAACACAUGCAAGUCGAGCGAUUUACUUCGGUAAAGAGCGGCSGACGGGUGAGUAACGCGUGGGUAACCUGCCCUGUACACACGGAUAACAUACCGAAAGGUAUGCUAAUACGAGAUAACAUGAGAAAGUCGCAUGGCUUUCUUAUCAAAGCUCUGGCGGUACAGGAUGGACCCGCGUCUGAUUAGCUAGUUGGUAAGGUAMCGGCUUACCAAGGCGACGAUCAGUAGCCGACCUGAGAGGGUGAUCGGCCACAUUGGAACUGAGACACGGUCCAAACUCCUACGGGAGGCAGCAGUGGGGAAUAUUGCACAAUGGGCGAAAGCCUGAUGCAGCAACGCCGCGUGAGCGAUGAAGGCCUUCGGGUCGUAAAGCUCUGUCCUCAAGGAAG